rnacentral:rRNA from 1 species
UACGUAGGGUGCAAGCGUUGUCCGGAUUUAUUGGGUUUAAAGGGUGCGUAGGCGGUCCUAUAAGUCAGUUGUGAAAUACGGCAGCUUAACUGUCGAGGUGCAAUUGAUACUGCAGGACUUGAGUACAGACGAGGUAGGCGGAAUUGACGGUGUAGCGGUGAAAUGCUUAGAUAUCGUCAAGAACACCGAUAGCGAAGGCAGCUUACUAGACUGUAACUGACGCUGAUGCACGAAAGUGUGGGGAUCAAACAGG